rnacentral:lncRNA from 1 species
UUCUCUUUAAGGACCAUUUGUGCUAUCUCAAACGCAUUGGUUAAUCGUUCUCUUCGCACUUUCUCAGGCUGUGAAACAAUUGUACGAAGCUUUGGAUAAAUGUGAGGAGAUACUUAGCAAGCAACGAUACCUGUGCGGGAACACAUUGUCUGAAGCAGAUAUUCGGUUGUUUGUCACUCUUAUAAGAUUCGACGAGGUACUGUUUUUUUUACUCCUCAAGCAAGAUUUGUUUUUUGUCAGAAAAUUCCGCCAAUUUAAUGGUUUUCGAUCUAUAAUAUGAAGAGAACCAAGAACCAUGCUAGUUUUUUUUUAUCAUUGAUGACAGGUUUACGUAGUCCACUUCAAGUGCAACAAGAAAGUACUACGAGAAUACCUGAAUUUGUUCAACUACACCAAAGACAUUUUCCAGGUUCCGGGGAUGAGCAGCACAGUCAACAUGGAUCACAUAAAGCGACACUACUACGGAAGCCAUCCGUCUAUCAACCCAUUCGGAAUAAUUCCUAGCGGGCCAGAUAUCGACUACUCGUCUCCUCACGACAGAAACAGGUUUUCGACAUAGGUUUUACACACUACCGAUCGCAAAUCGAACGACACAUAAUUUGCGAAUUGAGUUUGUGCGUCUUUGUUGUGUCUGUAAAGCUCGUUUAUUAGACCGUCUAUCAUCGUGUGACAUGUUAUGUUGUAAGUCUAUGGCUCAUGUUACUUUUAUGGGCCAAACCUAUUAUAUUAUAUAUCUUUCAAGGCCUUUAUAUGUCAUUUUACAAAUGGAUAAAUUUAUAAUUAAAAAUGCGUGAAAACAUAAGAUACUGGGUUAAGAAUAGCUCUAAUUUAAAAUGAGUUACUCAACUUUGAGAGGGCUCCGACUCAAACUUCAACCUAGAUAAGGCACUACAUAACUUAAACUGCAAUGAAGAGAAACUACGCACAAUCUGAGUCAUCCAAUAAGUUAAAAACUUGCUUAGUUGGAGCCUAAUUAAUGGGUUUUUUUUCCAUGAAAAAUAAAUACGCUGGUCGAAGCCGAAGGAGAAAAGUUAAAUAUUGUAAUAAGAAAAAUUGUUGUUAACCUUCACCAUCAAGUCGUCUUGCAUAUAUGCAAUAUGGAGAUAGCAAAGCGCACAGCCAUCGGGCAUAUUUCUGGUACGUGCAUUGCCUUGUUGAAACAGUUUGAUUAACUUGUCUGAAACUGUCAAGGCUAAAGCAAAGCCAUUAUUGGCCCAGACAAGUUCAUUUUCGAUGACCAGACAAGUUCCUUUUCGAUGACAGAAACAACUAAGUGGGAGUGGGGUAGUCAUCAUAAGUCAUGACUCAUGACGACGCAGCGUCAAUGGGUCUUUGAGUUGGACUGGCAACAGUUUCUUUCAACACAAGUUAAUCCGUGAUUUUAUCCUUUCAUCGUAUAUCGUACGGUCAGAAAUCAUUUUAAAAUUUAAAAUUUAAUAUAAAUAGUACCUAACGAAAACUGACCACACAAUACAUAAUGAAUGGAUAAGAUCACGGGAUCCCUAGGAAAAUGAUCCAGCGAAGAUCCUUCUCCAAUCUUCACAGCAAACUACUGCUGACAUCUAUUCUAUUAAUUUAUAGCUAUAAAAAUACAUGCAUGUACGUAAUAUUAUUGUCUCUGGCAAAUUUGGCCUUGGCUCUUGCAGAUCGCCGACCAUCGGUACAUGUCUGGGCAAAAAGACUCGAAGAAAAUGAAGGUAUAUAGAUUAAUCAUUACUGUCACUUAAUUUAAAGUAGAGUUUCUUCCUGUAAUAAAUUACAUUUCUAGCUAUAUAUAUACAUAAAUUAUAUCUCAGCGGCCUUCCCUCCCCCAAUUACAUAACCCAAUCGAUUUGUUUUUGUUUUUUGCAGCGUAAGAUUGUGAUGAAGGUACCGAUGAAUUGCCGGAAAUGCCAAGCGAAGGCGCUCAAAAUUGCUGCUACAGUAGAUGGUACUUAUGUUUGCUCCGGCAGCCCAUCACUUUCAUUUACUGAUUAUAUUAAUUAUAUGCAGUUUUACUAAAUUAGCUGAAGAACAUCCGGUUUCAUAUGAUAUUAAAUUGUAAAAUUAAUUAACAAUGGCAUGGGAUUGAACAUGGAUACAUGCAAUAUGCAGGUGUGAGUUCUGUGGCGUUGGGAGAGGAAAAAGACAGGGUGGUGGUGACUGGGGAGGGAGUGGACGCCAUUAAGUUGGCCAAGAGCUUACGGAAGAAAUUCAUGGCCGCCGACAUUAUCACCGUCGCAGAAGUCAAGUGAAUAAGUGAUCAUCCGAGAGCCUACCUAGGACGUCCUCUCUCGCUGCAAAUUAAUUAAGCUAGCUGAUGAUGAUCAAUUAAUAUCCAUAUACAUUAUAAAUUACUCGUUAAUUUAAUUAAGUAUUUUAUACAUGUGAGAUGAUACUGAGAUGUAUUUUAUAUGCGAUUGAGAUUCUAUAUAUUAAAUUAACUAUAUAUCAUGAUUGAAAUGUAUUUUAUAUGCGAUUGAGAAUCUGAGAUGUAUUUGGCCGGCGGUGUUACUGAAUUGAACCUUACAAGGGAGAAGAUGAUGAGGAGUGAGUACUAGUUUAUUGUAGAAAGUUGGAAAUUCCCUGCCUUGUCCUUGUUUUUGUGAAUGUGGGGUCUUCUGGUUAAGACUAAAAUAAUGAGAAUUUUAACGAAAAACUUCUGGUACUAUUCACUUUAAUGAAAAAUUAUAUUUUUACACUAAAAAGUCAAUCCUGAUACUAUUCAUUUAUCAUUUAUUUUGUCCUUAUCGUUAAAACUCAAAGUUUUCAAAUCAUUUUCAUUAAUUUUCCCUAAAAUAAUACAUAAUUCAUUUGAUUCAGCAACAUUUAGUCUUCACUUUGUUAAGGAGGCGUUGAAUUCAAAUAUUACGAGCGACAAUUGUUAAUAAGAAGAAUGACUUAACUCGAUACAAGUAACUCAAAACCGAAAUUUCAUAAAAGACAAAAGGUGUUUGGACUGUAACUAAAUUUGAACAAGAAUAUGAUCCACAACCGCAAUUACUUUUGGAUAAACGGCUAAUAAAUAGCUCGUUUGGAUGUACUUUUAAAAUGAUUGAAAACAUUUUUGGUGUAAUUGAUUUUGGGUUCUAAAGGCACUUAAGUGCUUUUUGAAAAAAACAUCGGAUAUGUCAUUCUUGCAUGAAGUACUUAAAAGUAUUUUUUCAAGAUUUACUUAGAUUUUUACUAAGGAUUGAUUGUAAAAACAUUUUCAUUAAAACCGUUUUCAAUCAUUUUAAAAAUACUUUCAAACGAACAAUAAUCUCCAACACGAUCACUAUUCACCUAAACAAGAUGACGUAACUGAUGAUGAUCUUUUCCUCGUUUUCAGACUCUUCCUUUUCUAUUUGUUUAUUGUUACCACUCGGAGUCUGGUUGGUCGGACUCAGAGCUCACCAACAGCACUACAUCACCUCUCUCUCUCUCUCUCUCUCUCUCUUGCUCUCUCUCUCCGAGUCUCGCCCUCAGAUCCCCUUCAAGCCUUCAAGGUAACAAUUUAAUUUAAGUUUUCAUUUAGUUUGCUCUGUUUUCAAUUUUCUCAUUACAAAGCUGCUGAAUUUUCCUCUCAAAAUUUUAAUUUUGUAAUUCUGCUGCUUUUGCAAAUCAUAAUUCCUUUUGCUUCAACUGGAUUAAUUUCUAUUAUCUAAGUUUUAAUUGCUAGUCUGAUGAUUAAUUAUCACUCUUAAGUUGCCUUGUUCUUCUCUUAAUUUGAUGCAUUUGGUGGUUGUGAAUUUUUGAAUAACAGUGCAGUGGAAAACAAUGAAUUGGGUUCGUUGGAGAACUUUUCAAAAACAGUCUGGAGAAUUUUCCAAAAACAGUAGUCCAUUUAGUAAGAAUCUAAAAAAUGUCGAAUCGAUUAUCGGUUAACUACCCAGAAAAAAGGAUUGUUCAUUUAGUUUCAUCCAACUAACUACCCAUUACUCAGAUUUUAGCGAAAAAUUUCAGGAAAACUAAUGAAAAAGACUUGAAAGCUUUGAGUUUUAACGGACAAAAUAAAUAGUAAAGUGAAUAGGAUCAUGAUUGACUUUUUUAGUGUAAAAAUGUGGUUUUUCAUUAAAAUGAACAGUAUCGGAAGCUUUGUGUUAAAGUUCCCAAAAAUUUCGUGUCAGUUGUAAUCAAGGUUUUGAUAUUUCUAGGUGUAUCUGGUUCUAGCUGAAUUGCAGAUAAUGAUGUAAAGUUUCUUUAAACAGAAAUCUUUUCAAUCCAUUCAGGUUUCCUCUGAUUUCGAAUCCAAUCUCGUGGGUUUGUUUGCGUGUGGCUGUAUGAAGCUUCAAUAUUUGCAUUUUCAUCUUAAUAAACACAAGGUUUCUUAGAUGUGCUACUUCAACAAUUGGAUAAAAUCUUAGAUGUGCUAAUUUCUGCAGGUAGUCAUUCUUCAGCACACAAUCAAAUGGCGCGAUCUGCACUAGAUGAGACCUCACUAUCGGGUGCAUUUGUGAGAACUGCUUCUGUAUUUCGUAACUUCAUCUCGCGGGACCCGAAUUCGCAAUUUCCAGCAGAACCUGGAAGAUAUCAUCUGUAUAUAUCAUAUGCUUGCCCUUGGGCUUCCAGGUGCCUUGCGUACUUGAACAUAAAAGGACUUGAUAAAGCCAUCAGCUUUACGGUAUAGUACUGUAUAUUAGAUCGUUACUUACUAGAUUCACUUUCUAAUUGCCAAAUUAAUCUCAUCUGUUUGUUUGAUUGUUUGCUUGUUUUGUGUCACUUAGUCAGUCAAACCGAUAUGGGAAAGGACAAAAGAAAGUGAUGAACAUAUGGGGUGGGUUUUUCCUGCUUCCGAAACAGAGCUAGCGGGAGCUGAACCCGACCCCUUGAAUGGAGCAAAAAGCAUUAGAGAACUUUACGAGCUUGCAAGCACACAGUAUACCGGAAAGUACACGGUUCCAGUAUGUUCACUCAUAUUAAGUGGCCUUUUCAUUUUUCUUUCGUUGACUAUCUGCUACCAAAUGACUGAUCAUUUUACUUUGGUAGGUUCUAUGGGAUAAAAAACUCAAAACAAUUGUUAGUAAUGAGAGCGGGGAGAUUAUUCGCAUGUUCAAUACUGAAUUCAACGAUAUAGCUGAAAACGCAUCUUUGGACUUAUAUCCUCCUCACUUGCAAUCCCAAAUUGAUCAGACAAAUGAAUGGAUAUAUGACAAGAUAAACAACGGUGUCUAUAAAUGCGGGUUUGCGAGGAAGCAAGAGCCUUAUGAUGAGGUAUAUUUUGGAAGCUGUAAUGAGUUUUGACUGUGUAGGUUCUGGAGUUUACGUUCUCUUUAAGGACCAUUUGUGCUAUUUCAAACGCAUUGGUUAAUCGGUCUCUUCGCACUUUCUCAGGCUGUGAAACAAUUGUACGAAGCUUUGGAUAAAUGUGAGGAGAUACUUAGCAAGCAACGAUACCUGUGCGGGAACACAUUGUCUGAAGCAGAUAUUCGGUUGUUUGUCACUCUUAUAAGAUUCGACGAGGUACUGUUUUUUGACUCCUCAAGCAAGAUUUGUUUUUUGUCAGAAAAUUCCGC